UUGAAAUACUGGUUCUCAUAUGAUCACCAAAGUUAAGCAACGUUGAACCUGGUCAGUACCUAUAUGGGUGACCACUUGAGAAUACCAGGUUCUGUAAG